UACGUAGGGUGCGAGCGUUAAUCGGGAUUACUGGGCGUAAAGCGUGCGCAGGCGGUUCGUUGUGUCGGCGGUGAAAGCCCCGGGCUUAACCUGGGAAUGGCCGUUGAAACUGGCGAACUGGAGUGUGGCAGAGGGGGGUGGAAUUCCGCGUGUAGCAGUGAAAUGCGUAGAGAUGCGGAGGAACACCGAUGGCGAAGGCAGCCCCCUGGGCUAACACUGACGCUCAGGCACGAAAGCGUGGGGAGCAAACAGG
rnacentral:rRNA from 1 species